AGCGAACGCUGGCGGCAGGCCUAACACAUGCAAGUCGAACGAACUCUUCGGAGUUAGUGGCGGACGGGUGAGUAACACGUGGGAACGUGCCUUUUGGUUCGGAAUAACUCAGGGAAACUUGUGCUAAUACCGAAUGUGCCCUUCGGGGGAAAGAUUUAUCGCCAUUAGAGCGGCCCGCGUCUGAUUAGCUAGUUGGUGAGGUAACGGCUCACCAAGGCGACGAUCAGUAGCUGGUCUGAGAGGAUGGCCAGCCACACUGGGAAUGAGACACGGCCCAGACUCCUACGGGAGGCAGCAGUGGGGAAUCUUGCGCAAUGGGCGAAAGCCUGACGCAGCCAUGCCGCGUGAAUGAUGAAGGUCUUAGGAUUGUAAAAUUCUUUCACCGGGGACGAUAAUGACGGUACCCGGAGAAGAAGCCCCGGCUAACUUCGUG
rnacentral:rRNA from 1 species